CAAUGUUACUAUAAUGAGUACAAAGGCGUUUGUACGACUCCAAGAAAAUGUCAAUCAUCUGUAAAUUUACCGGAUUGUCCGAAUGGACGUAGAAAGAGAUUGGUUUGCUGCGCCAUCUCUCGAUACCAACCGACAACCACUGACAGAACAAUAGCAACACAACGGACAACUCCUCAAGUUAAUCAAAAUGGAUGUCCUGCUGUGUCACCAGAGUUAACUUCGCGCAAAACUGGCAGAAAAGC